rnacentral:rRNA from 1 species
UGCAAGUCGAGGGGCAGCAUUUCAGUUUGCUUGCAAACUGGAGAUGGCGACCGGCGCACGGGUGAGUAACACGUAUCCAACCUGCCGAUAACUCGGGGAUAGCCUUUCGAAAGAAAGAUUAAUACCCGAUAGUAUAAUGAAACCGCAUGGUUUUACUAUUAAAGAAUUUCGGUUAUCGAUGGGGAUGCGUUCCAUUAGUUUGUUGGCGGGGUAACGGCCCACCUAGUCUUCGAUGGAUAGGGGUUCUGAGAGGAAGGUCCCCACAUUGGAACUGAGACACGGUCCAAACUCC